rnacentral:rRNA from 1 species
GAUGAACGCUGGCGGCGUGCCUAAUACAUGCAAGUCGAGCGAACAGACGAGGAGCUUGCUCCUUUGACGUUAGCGGCGGACGGGUGAGUAACACGUAGGUAACCUACCUAUAAGACUGGGAUAACUUCGGGAAACCGGAGCUAAUACCGGAUAAUAUUUCGAACCGCAUGGUUCGAUAGUGAAAGAUGGCUUUGCUAUCACUUAUAGAUGGACCUGCGCCGUAUUAGCUAGUUGGUAAGGUAACGGCUUACCAAGGCAACGAUACGUAGCCGACCUGAGAGGGUGAUCGGCCACACUGGAACUGAGACACGGUCCAGACUCCUACGGGAGGCAGCAGUAGGGAAUCUUCCGCAAUGGGCGAAAGCCUGACAGAGCAACGCCGCGUGAGUGAUGAAGGUCUUCGGAUCGUAAAACUCUGUUAUUAGGGAAGAACAAACGUGUAAGUAACUGUGCACGUCUUGACGGUACCUAAUCAGAAAGCCACGGCUAACUACGUG